rnacentral:lncRNA from 1 species
UUGGUUGGCAAGAAAAUAACUAAAUGACGGCUUGUGCAAUAUUGUAGCAGAGCAUAUGUGGACUCUCUUGGGUCUGACACCAAAUGAAGAAUCAUGCGAGCACAUGAGAUAAAUUUUUCCACCCGAUUGGAACACAUUUACACCUAAAACGCACACACUUUGGUGUCAUACCAGGAGGGCACAUAUUUGGUGGACAAAAAGAAUCAGUAGAACAUCGAUGACCUCCUG